rnacentral:tRNA from 1 species
GGGGCUAUAGCUCAGUUGGGAGAGCACCUGCCUUGCAAGCAGGGGGUCAGCGGUUCGAAUCCGCUUAGCUCCA